GACGAACGCUGGCGGCAUGCCUAAUACAUGCAAGUCGAGCGAACAGAUGAAGUGCUUGCACUUCUGACGUUAGCGGCGAACGGGUGAGUAACACGUAAGGAAUCUACCUAUAAGCGGGGGAUAACAUUCGGAAACGGGUGCUAAUACCGCAUAAUAUCUUCUUCCGCAUGGAAGAAGAUUGAAAGACGGCUCUGCUGUCACCUAUAGAUGACCUUGGGGUGCAUUAGUUAGUUGGUGGGGUAAUGGCCUACCAAGACGAUGAUGCAUAGCCGUCCAAAGAGGCUGAUCGGCCGCUAUGGGACUGAGACACGGCCCAAAGCGCUACGGGAGGCACCAGUAGGGAAUCUUCCGCAAUGGGCGAAAGCCUGACGGAGCAAUGCCGCGUGAGUGAAGAAGGCCUUCGGGUCGUAAAACUCUGUUAUAAGAGAAGAACAAAUUGUAGAGUAACUGCUACAGUCUUGACGGUAUCUUAUCAGAAAGCCACGGCUAACUACGUGCCAGCAGCCGCGGUAA
rnacentral:rRNA from 1 species